UCUUCAACACCGUUUCCGUCCGACACCACCACCGGCGACCACCAUCGCCUACCCUCUCUCUCUUCCUUCUUCUCUUUCUUCCCCAUUUCUCCAUUUCUUCGUUCCUGCGUGCGACACCCCUGUUUGUGGAGUCACCCUCUGUCCGCGUCUUCAAGCACCGACAAGCAACCACCAGCGGCGGCGACCUUCUGUGCCACCGCGACAUCACCACCACCCCACCGCCUCUCCGUUCUUCUUCCUCCUUUCAUCAAUGCAGCUUUCUUAAAAGAUUCCCUCUCUCUCUGGUGCUGCAAAGUUAGGGUUUUCUAUGACCAGCAUUUCACAGUGGAAACUGUAGUGGUGUGGGUCAAUAGAAUCUUUUGAUCAAAGAAACAAUAGUGGAGUAUUUGGUUCUUCAGCAUAUACACUAUCACAAAGUAUUGGUAGAGUUUAAGACUCCCAGAAAAGCUAU